ACCAAUUCAUCUUGAGAGCAGGUGCUGCUAAGGCUCUUGGAUCAUUCAGGAGCAACCCCACCAUUUGAGUUAUUACCAAAUAUCCUCUCAUGGGUUCAAAAGGAACAUAAUUGGAAGCAAAAUGAGUUGAUAUUGUAGCAAUGAUAAUAUUGUCAAGUGCUUGUACUUUUAUUUUGAUCCUACGUAGAUUGAAGGUUCUUUCAAGACAAGAGCCUUUGGUAAAUAGUAAGUACCCUUAGUAUUUCUAGAACUUUCCUUUGCCCUCUCAUGUAAUGAAUAAGUCAAGUCAACAUGGAGUAGGUGAAAUAGCAUGAUAACCCAUGUUUUAAGGGAGAGGUUAUGCUGAUUCAAUGUCACCUGCACCUUUUUGCUUGUAACUAUGUAUUUUUCCAAAAGCAAAUGUCACUAUAUGUAUGAUGGAAAUUUAUGAAUCAAAAGACAGUUUCUGAUGCACUGUAGAAAAAUUAUUAAUGGGACAAAUGUCAUCAAAUCUUUCUUGUUCCUGCACAUGAUUUGUAUUAUAUCCACUGUUUUAACACUUUCUCCUCCUCUGCCUAAAGUUAUAGCGAAAAUAUCAAAAAUUGUCAAAACAAAAUUACAAAAUAAAAUAAAAGAUAACUUGAAGACAAUAUAAUUAUUUUACAGUAAAAAAUAGUUAAAAUUUUUAAUUCAGAUUUAGUUAUUGAUAUGUUUAAAAUUUUGAAAAAAGUAAAAGGCAAUCCUUUUAAAGUAUGUAUGAUUUCUUUAUAAUUAUAACUAUAUUACAUUAUAUACUAUUUUUAUUGUAUUACGAACAAUGAUGAUGUAAUUUUUUUUAAAUAUAUUACUUUAAUUCUACAAAAUGGUGAACAUCAUGAAAAUACUUCUUCUGUAUAAUUAAGAUAUUGUUUUUGUAACACUCUAUUUCAAUAAUAUAAAAUUAUUAAAAUAAAACGUUAAAAAGAAUAAUUAGGUAAAAUAAACUUUCUACAACGAAGAGAUCUAUUUUUGUAAAUCCACCUAUCUACAUCUCUGCUUCACCUUUGCUAGAGUAAUUGAAAAGGCGACUCCCUAAGCUUACAUCAUAGGUAAUCAUCGCAAAAGAGAAAUAACAUACAAAGACAGACAAUAGAAAAACAAGGAUAAGCUAGAUAUACAAGCAAUACAUCAUAAGUUUAAAGCAUUUCAUAUAGGAAUCAUAUAUAAUUUAAUCCAUCCCAAACAUCUUAAUAUGCAAUAACCUAUACCAACUGUCCAAACUUAGAAUGAAUGCCGAGCUAUGGCGGGUUGUGCACUUGUUGUGGUCUCUACUGCUUUCCAAAACCGCCAAUGAAUUUCACCCUACCACCUGCACAAGGUUAGUUUGAUACUGCGUCAUAAGCCUCCAAGAAGCACCUAGACUAAGACCUCCUACUACCUUUACCACAUGAUUCAAUCUUCUCUACUUGAGAAUGAAAGAUCAUUAGAGUGUUAGGAUAGCCCCCAAUACUGAGCUCCCUGCAUUCAUUUUAAAGAUACUUGAAACCACACCACGAAGUUACACCUUGGAACUAACUUUCAUAACUUUCAAACCAUUGAUAUUGCUUCACCUUUACAUUCAAUCCGUUUGAAACCAUAUGCAUAUUCUUGUUUCCAAUUCAUAUUAUAAUCAAUUCAUGUUUCACAAUAAGUAUUAUAAACCAAUCAUUCAAUCAAUCACAUACAUUGAACUCACUUUAAGAAAAUAUAUAAGAACUUUGUUGAAAAUAUGAUAUUUUCACUUAGCCACCAAUUCUGCUCGCUUAAAUAAAAGUGUCUGCAAGCCCACUCACUCAACCACCAAGAGUCAUUGUGUGAAAAUAGAAAUAGUGGGUUCUACUCGCUUAGCGACCACACUCAUUCAGCGAGAAGUGUUAUGCUCGCUCAGCUAGAACACACUCGCUCAACGAGACUGCAUAAUUUUGCAGUACAAAAACUAUAGAAUUUGCACCCUUCAACCACUCAUGACUUAUCCUAUGCAUAUUUCCCAACUUCUAACACUCUUAUGUUGUAUUCUAAACUAAAUUGGACCUAACCAAAGGUAUAUAAACCAAUCUAAACUCGUUUUAAAUUGUUUUACCACAAGAUUUCAAUCUAAAAUUAACCCAAACCUCAUUUUAGAGAUCUAAAUUAAACUCCACCAGUUCUAGCUCAUUUUUUAGCAACUUAGGAGUUUGCAGAAGUCACAAAUGACUUACCAACACCCUCCAAAAUGACCAUUUAGAAAUAAAACCUAAAAUUCAAAAUUUCACUAGUUCAAACCCCCAAAAUACACUUAAACAACUUUGCAAACACUUCAAAUUGACUAUCACUCCAUUCUAACACACAUAUAAGCUAAUUCUCAUCCCAAACAAGUUACAAAUGACCAAACUAACUACCCUGAAUCCUAACUUCUCACUUUAGACUAAUAUUUCAGAAAAUCACCUCUCAAACCUCCAUUUUAGACCAAAUUGAUCUAUAGCUCUACUUCCACCUUUACUCUUAUCAUUUCCACCAAAAUCAACACCAACACAAUCAUACCAACUGCAUUCACAAAGUUACUCUAAGUUCUGUUAAGGGUCUGACAAGUGUACCAGAUCGUAUCAAGUAAUAGUAAAACGGUAAGUCCGAAUAUCGUUUCCCUAGAGACUCUUAGGCCUAAACGUUCGUGUGAUUUCUUGAUUAUUUAAGACUUGAAUAACAAAAAUUAGGGUUCUAUAAUGCAAAAACGAAAAUUAAAUAUGAAUGCAAAGGUUUUGAUCAAUUGACCAAAAGAUAACGCAGGUGAAUGAUGAAUGAAUGAAUUAUGUUGUUGGGGUUUAUGGGUUCAUCCUAAUCCACUCUUAUAUAUCUAAGAAUUCGACUUUUUCAUUAAUGUUAAUGCCACUUUCUAAUUUACCCUAACUCCAAUGUCUUGGUGAAAGGAGACUACUCCUAAUUACUAGUUUAAUAUGUCUAGUCUCCCUAGCAAUUGAUCAUGCAUUACAUAAUUCGCACAGAAGCUUAAGGUAAUCGGUCCUCCUAUCCCUAUGUCUAGGUAAUAUUGCUACCAAGAGAAUUCCCUCAUGUCUAGACCUACAUAUACUUUUCCAUAUAGAUAGAAUCAAAGAUUAUGCUAUUGAAUAAUGUCUUAAACAAAAACAUGCAAAUAUAGUGGAGGAAAAACCCUAACAAUUAAUGAAUAAAAGCAUAUGAAUAAAGCAUCAAUUCAAUAUAUGAGAGUUUCACAGGAUUACAUCAAUUCUCCAACAACAAUAGAGGUUUAGUUCACCAUAAUCAUGGUGAAACUAGAUGGAAAUAAUGAAAAGAAUGAAAAGAUAAACCCUAGAUUUGAUAUAUUGGAGCUCCCGCAUCCAAAAUCCGCCUCUAAGGAGUGAAGAGAAUGUUUUUGGGCCUCUUUUGCCAAAAGAUACCCCUUCUAGUUCGUCUGAGUCUAUAUAUAACAUAGAAAAAUAAUAGAAUUUUGGCCCAGGUCCACUAGUACACCGCUCGGCGGUAGGUGCGGCACUCAGAAUAACCCCCAACGAUGGCGCCCAAGCGAAAAAUAGUGAAAAACUGGUCUUAGUCCACCACCUGCGGUGGUUUCACCGCCCGACAGUAAGCGCGACACUUGAGUUCACCGCUCAGCGGUACAAAGCUGCCGCUCAGCGGUACAAAGUUGCCGCUCAACGCUAGCGGAUUUUUCAGCACUUCGUUUUUCUGCCGUCUGGUUGACUUUUCUGCACAACAACUCCUUGAUACUUUAGCACCUCUUUCAAAUCAUUUCAAAAACCUACAAAAUCAAGGGAAUUUAGUGAUAAAAUCAUAAAGCAUAUCCUCAACUCUCUUAUUCACAAAACUAAAGCAAAAUCAUGAAUUCAGGCAAGUUUCUAAGUCAAAAAGGGUGCAUUAAGUAUCAAAAUUAAGUAUAAAAAUAACGGUUUUUCAAUCGUUAUCAAGUUCACACAAAAUUCUCACAAAGUAUAAAGCAUCAUAUCAUUCAUUAUUCUUAAUCAAACACAAUUAACAUUAAAACAAUCAUUUUAGACAUAGUCAACAAUAUACAAUAACAUACAUACCAACAGUCACAAUUUCACAUAUUAUUAUCAAAUUUAAAGACAAACAUUAGCUUCCCUUCCUUACACGAAACAACAGAACUUUAUAAACACCGAACCCUUGCUUAGAGCUCAAGAAACUCUAGAAACACCAACAAAACACUAAACAGAGAUUAGAGAGAAUCCUUAGGACCUCUGAUCAACAGGAAAUUAGUAAAAGACAUUACAACUCACAUGCUACAAGAGAUCAUCAAGCAUGAUCUCAAUUAAGAACGAAAAAAGAAAAAGGAGACGAAACUUUCUUACUCUAUUGAAGAAAUUGAUUGGGUAGAAACAUAGACCUCGUAGGUACCUCGUUAUUGUCAAAGAGAUGAUCAGAAGUUAGAACUCUUAGAGAGAAAGUAGAGAACUAUAGAAAAGUAGUUUCUAGAGAGAUAAUAUUUUUAAAAUAAUGAAACUCUUUUAUAACAAAACUACUUAUAAAUAAACCAUUUAAUAUUAAAAUAACUGAAUCUCACUAUUUUUAAACUAUCAUCCUUCUAAAAUGCCAUUUUCUAGGGUUUUAUAGUUUUGAUCAAGUGUGCACUUCUUUUUAAUAGUCACUUACGUAAUAUUUCAUCAUACACCACUAAAUAAAAUAUUAAAACUUUAAUAAUCACACAAGAGAUCGUUAAGAAAUUAAAACUACAAGAACUUUUCUCAAAUAAUGAACUACUAUAGAAGAAACCACUAAGGAAACAAAUCUUUUAUUCUAUCAUUUCAUCACAUUCCAAGUUCGUAAAUCUUCACCUAAUUCACCAUGUGCUUACACAGGAAAGUUAUUAUUACAAAAAGAACAAUAAACAAAAAAAGAAAGAGACAAGAUAAGCUAGUGUGCAAAAGAAACAUCAUGAAACAGUUAUAUUAUAUCAAAUAUCAACUAAACAUUUUAUAAAAUGUAACAAUUCAGAUAAACACACAUCCACAGUUGACACUAGACUCAAUUAUUUGAAUACAUACUUUUGACAUAGGACUUCAACAUAGGCAUGCACUUUGUAAUGAUAUUUAUGCUCUAUAGAGUCAUAACCAAAGGAGUUAUCACUCUACAACUUACAAGAUUAGUAUCCUUUGUGUAUAGGACCAACAAUUUUGUAGCUAGGACGUCUUGCAACUUUUACCACAUAACUCAUUCUAUUCUAUUUGAGUAUGAAUAAUUAUUAAAUUUUAGAAUACUUCCUUUCUUAUCCUUAUAUGUCUAUGCAUACACUAAACAUUACCACUAUACAAAAUUUCUCCUUGAAAUUUGUUGAACAACAUUUUCAAACGUAUCAGUUUUAACAUCCUCAUUUUCACAUAGAGAGUCUUCAUACUAACAAACAUAUAUACUUUCAAUUUAAAAUCAAUGUCAAAGCAAUCAAGAAUAACACAACUAAUAUACUGGCAAGCACUUAGAGGUGGCAUUAGUGUCAGACUUCUCGUAAAAGGUGGUGCUUAGUGUUAGUCUUGGCACACAACAUCAUUCUUCUCGCAAAAAAGUCAUGCUCACCGACACUCUUCUACCACUCAACGUCAAGGAAUUAAAUUGAUUCAUACCUGUAGCGAAAGUAUAGUGCUCAACGGUGCCUUGCUACCUUUCAACGCUAAAUAAUUCACAAAAAUGAGCGCUCAAUAGUAAAAAAAGGGCAUGAUAACCAGUCUCAAGCUAAAAUGCUUCUAGACUUGCACAAUCAACCUUGUGCUAAGCGUCACACCAGUAUCAUUCAAUGUUAUAUAAGAUUACAACACACUUAAAUUUGUGACUUAGGUGAAAUGACACCUGAUCAAUUGUUCAAAUUGGAAUUCCUUUUCCAAAGAAAUGGUUUUACACAUUUUAUAUACCUUAAACUUAUACCAAUUUGUACAAUUGCUUAGCUCUUUAGUUCUUUGAAUCACAACCGUCAAAACAUUCAAGCAAAACUCAAUUCAAUACUUAAACCAUACAAUUCAAUUUAAAUACAAGCAUCAAUAUGAUGCAAACAACAUACCAAAAAAUCAACAUUAUACAACUUACGCACACUAAAGCAAUUAGUUUUCCUUACAUGAAAUGCGACCAACAACUUGAUGACCCCUAAAACACUCUUAAUCGUAUAGAAAACUCAAUAUGCCCCUAUGAACAACGCAAACACAAUCAUGAAACACCAUUAAGAUCACUGAUAAACAAAAACUAGCAUAAAGACACUAGUAAAAAAAGGGUUUUCUAACGCGGCUAAUACGUCUCGGUUUACACAAACCCAAAGAAAAUAUAAAUGCGGUUGAAGUACUGUAAUUUCAACAAAUUUAUAGGCCUCGGUUCAACAGGAACCGAGGCAUAAUAGUAAUAUUAUCUCGAUUAGAAAACACCCGGAGCGUAUAAUCUGCGUAUAGGCAUCGGUUGGAGGAAGGAAUCGAGGUAGUAGAAAUGUAUUACUUCGGUUAAGGGUAUCACCGAGUCAGUAUAUGCGCCACGUCUUCAUUGCUUCCAAUGCCUUCGCGAGACAUUUCCAUUCUUGCAGCAUAGCCUCUCCUGAAACCUAUCUUCGGCAUUUGCUAGGGUUCAUCAUCACUCACCCAGUUUUCUCCAUUUUUGGUUGUUUAAACCACUAAUUUCUUUCAUUCCUACCGGUUGAAUGCAUCCUGCCUCUGAACUGACCGAUUGGAACUUCAAUUAACACCAUUUUCAUCCUUCUCACACCUUCUCCUUCUUUUUUGACCGAACAAAACACUUCCUCGUUCCAUUUCACCGAUUCAAUCGGUGAAUCCUUCUUUCUCACCGAUUAAAACCUCACAAACCCCCAACCCUAGGUCGUCUCCGCCAGAAGGUCGCCAAUAGGUCGUCGUCACCACUACAGUGUUCUCGCAUUGCUUCACGAUUGUAAGAUCUGGGAAAAUAGGAGUUUUAAAAAUAAAGUAAUUUUGAGACUUUGAAUGUGUUAUAGAACAUAAUUUUUAUGUUAUUUCUUUAUUUUUAUAUUUUUGCCUAGGGACAAAAGGGUCUUUUACUUUUAUUUAACUGGUGUAGAAAUUAAUUAAGAGAGGGUGUANNNNNNNNNNNNNNNNNNNNNNNNNNNNNNNNNNNNNNNNNNNNNNNNNNNNNNNNNNNNNNNNNNNNNNNNNNNNNNNNNNNNNNNNNNNNNNNNNNNNNNNNNNNNNNNNNNNNNNNNNNNNNNNNNNNNNNNNNNNNNNNNNNNNNNNNNNNNNNNNNNNNNNNNNNNNNNNNNNNNNNNNNNNNNNNNNNNNNNNNNNNNNNNNNNNNNNNNNNNNNNNNNNNNNNNNNNNNNNNNAAAUCUUAGUGGUUUUAGAUAUAAACUGAGAGAUUUUAUUUAUAUUAAAAAGAUAGAGAUAGAAUAGAAAAGGAUAAAAAGGAUAAGAGUGAAAAAGGGUUUGCAUUUUGUUACCCUAAAUGCAAAAAAAACGAAAAUUAGAAACAUAAGGGAGAGAAAAGACGUUUUCUGGGAGAAAAUAGAGCAGAGAACGAGGCAUCAAAAAUAGGAGAACCAUCGGUGACGUUCUGAAGCUUUCUUGGUGGUUUUGGAAACAAAAAAAUAGUAAGACACCAGGUAAGGGGAGGAACCGGUUAUAUUGUAACACAUGAUUGGUUUAGGGUUUUGAUAAGUGUUUUCAUGUUAUAGGGAAAUAUAUUUUGUAAUGUGGUAUAAUAUUUAUUCUUUACUUGUGCUUCAUUGUAAGGAAAGUAACUAGAAUUGUCUUGUUGUGUAUUGUUUCUCUUUUGAUAUGAAUGUCUUGCAUGGUGAGAUGAGUUUUAAAUUGUCUCUAGCAUGAAUGGUGUAAUUUCAGCUAUAUGUGAAUAAUUUAUGAAUAGUUGUCUAUGNCAUCUUCGCGUGUGACUUGUUGGAAUUUUUGGUUCGCUUAUUGAUUUAAUAUAAUCAUUCUAAAAUUAUUAUGGUUUAAUAUAUAAUUAUAUUAUGGACGUGAUUUCACUUUCUGUAAUAUAAGGUUUAUAUAUUAUAAUAUAUUAUUGUUAUAAUACAGUAAUACAUAUAAGGUACGUAUAAUAGUAUGUGUAUAUAUAAUAUUAUGUUAGUGAUUUUUUUUAGUUACGUAUAUAAAUAUAUAAUAUUAUAUGGUGUUCAUUUUAUUAAAAAAAAAUAUGUGUGAAAUUGGUAGGAAAGUGUUGGUAAACGUUGAUGAUGAAAAGAAAAGAGUAUGGAAAUUAAAUUAUAAAAGUGAAUAUUUUUAUUUGUUGUGGUGAUAUUUUAUCGUAAUAAUUUUAUAUGUUUUUGUGGUGAUUUAUUUGAUGUAGUAGUAUUUUUAUAAGAUGUUGUAGUGUUGUAUAUGAAGUCGUAUUUUUAUAUGGUGUAGUAAAAUCUUGUGUUUGAUGUAUUGAUGUUUAUCAUUGAGAUUUUUAAGUGAAAAGUAUUGAGAUUGUGUUAAAUCAAUGAUUGGUUCUUUAAUACAUAUUAGUAAGGAUGUGUAUUGGUUUGUGAUCGGUGAGUUAAUAUAUAUAGUAUUGAGACUAUGCAUGAAAGGUGAUGAGCAGGACAUGUUGAACAUUAUGAUGAGGGAGCAUUGUAUAUUUUGAGAAUAGUGAGAUAAACUUUAUGAUUGUUGAGCAAUGCAUGUUUUUGAGAAUGUGUACUGAGUUGUGAUGUAGACAUGAAACUAUGUUAUUUCCUUAUACUGUCGUCGAUCAUGUAUGAACUUUUCAUGCUGUGCUACGUUAAGAAUGUGAUGUUGUUGGACUCUCGUUUAAGAGAUAGUGAUUCGAGUGUCACUUCCCUCUACGCGGGGAGGUGGAUAUCUCGCCCAAAAGACUUCGGCUCGUGCUUAGUAUAGUGCACUGGUGCGCGUAGUGCCAGUGUUUUUACUUGUUAGUCCUUGAGAAGUCGGGGAGAUAGGUCGGAAGUUGCGAUGGAAGACGGCUCGAAUUGCCCUGUUGAGGAACAGGUACCUGUUAGUGAUAACAGGUCAUGACGACACAGUAAAAGGAAACGACAUUGGGUCAUGAAUGGAUUGAUGUUGUGAUGAAAUAUGUUAUAUGUUUAUAUUACUCUGUGAUUAAAAUGAAAUAUGCUUUAUUGUGUGUUAUGAUAUUUCUGGUUACUCACCUUGAAAGUUGUGGAUGUGGUUUCCACCUACGAUGAUCGUACUUGUACGGGAGUAGAUGGCAUUGCAGAUAAAACUGGAUUGAAGUAGCUGACGUGAGAGUUGGGAUAUCUAAGUUCGGGGAUUGAUUAUUUAUUUUUAAAAGUUUUCCAAUUUGAUACUUUUAUGUAAAAGUGAUAUUCUAAGAUUUUCAAACGAUGUUUAUAGUCAUGACAUAAUUUCGCCUGUAAAUUGAAUGUAUUAUAGAAAGGUUUUGAAAACAAAAUUAUACCGUGACAUUCCGAAAAACUGGGGUGUUACAACGAUUCCUUUUGUCACGCAAGAUCUCCAAACACCAUGGUCGGUGCUGCCAUCCAACCACUACCUCUCCGUCGUGACUCCUCGUUGUUGACUCGCUGCUGCUCCCUCCCCGUUGCGUCCACAACGUCACCGCCAUUGCAGAGCGAAAAGGAAAUCUUGGGUUGGGAUUUUGAAGUUGGGUUUCUGAAAUUGGGAAAUCUUGGGUCUCUGUUUUGAUCUUGGGUUGGGAUUUUGUGCUAUUGUUUUGAUUUUAGGUUGGGGUUUUUGUCGGAUACAGAUUUUGGAAACACUUUGGAGUUUGAACACUGAAGAGCAAUGCAGGGGAAAAUGCAGUUUUAACAGAAGAGGAAAAGCCUGUUAAGCACUUUGUUGGCCAUCUCUGUGGGAGCUUUGUGUUCAUACUGUUUGACAAAUCCACUUCCACCCUAUUUUUGGCCUCUGUCAGUAAUCACUCUCUUCCUCAUUUUAAUUUUACUAUUUUUGACAGGAUCAAUAUGGUAAGGUACCUUUGUAUUGGGAAAUUACUAUUAAUGGCUAUGUAGCGUUUGCCGAUGAUGCAAAAUUGCUUAAAGGUGCUUGUGGCAAGUCACUUGCUUCUUUCUCACAAGGUGCUUAACUUGUAUCACCAUUCCCUUUAAUUUUUUCUCAAUGUGUUAAGAAUAAAACACUUCAUCUAAUUGCUCAAACUCUUGCUCUCUAAUUGGACAUGAUGUUUCUACUCCCUAACUUUUGGAGGAUUGAUGUGUUAUGAAAAUCCUAAGAAUAAGAUCAUUGUAGUUCUUGCUAAGGAGGAGGAAAUCUGGGGUGCAACCUUCAAGGUAACAAAAUGAAACAAAUACAUUGUUCUUUAGAUCUCUGUUGAUGAACUUGAAAUCCAUUUAUUUUCAAUGAUUGUGGAACUGGUUGAAUGAUAUAUAUAUAUAUAUAUAUAUAUAUAUAUAUAUAUAUAUAUAUAUAUAUAUAUAUAUAUAUAUAUAGAGUGGAAGGGCCAACAGUUGUUGCAGCUAAACAACAGAGGUUCCUUUGGAGAAAUAACCAUUGCAAUGAGACAUAGGAAUAAAGUACCUUAGUUCUAUUAGUAUUUCUCUUAUCAGCACUUGGUUCUAUCAGUGUACAAUAACGCUGUCAAUCUAAUAAAAACUCAUUUGCUUUUAAAUUUCCUUCUACCAUUCUAUAUUCAAAAUUUCUAAAAAACAAAAAUUCCAAAAUUACAGCAUGGUUCAGUAAAGGCCUAAAAUAUGAAAAAAAAAAACAUGUUACUACCUCGGUUACUAAAAAACUGAGGCAUAAUCCUACCAUCUUUUGAUUCGGUUCAUACCCGAGGCAAAAAGCUUAUCCCUUUUUACCUUGUUUGUAUAUGCAUCGGUUGCAGAACUGAUGCCUAUAAACAAAACUAACUGGUGUCUUUUUCCCUUACUAUACUAGUGAGAACACAAAAUUUACAUGAGAUAAAACAGAUAACAUGAAAAAAAAGAACCAACUGUAUAAAAAAGAAAUAAAAAAAACAACUUAUCUUAUUCAAGAAAUUGACUGAUUGAUGAACUCACUACCAGAAGAAACAUACUGUUUCCAAUAUUCAAAAAAGAUAAACAUAUGGUAAGAUAUAAUAUAAAGAAUAAAAUAUAAUUCUAAGAAAAAGUUAUAGAAAAAAUAAAUAUUUUUAAAUAAUGAAAAUCAUUUAUAAAAUUUUUAUUUUUACUUUAUAUUUUUAAUAUUUAAAAUAAUCAAAUCUCAUAUUUAAACGUAUUAUCAAUUUUAAAACAUAAUUUUUUACAUUAUUUUAACGUUUGGAUUCUCAAUACUAAAGGAAUAAUAAAAUGAUAGAAACUGUAAUGUAAGAAAAUAUUUGGAUAACAGUAAAAAAAGAAAAAAAAAAGAACUGAGAAGAGUUCCAAAUAUUAUGGAAUAGAGUAAAUAAAAAGGCACCGACAAAAAUUUGGGGACAAAAACAUAUAAUAACCAAUAGUGACAGUAGAAGUGAAGUGAUGGUUUUGGAGUUUGAUGCACAUUUUCUGGAUCUAUGAUUGAUGAUGCUUGUCACACUCAUAAGCUAUGUUACCAAUGAAUCUUUUUCUUCCACAAAACUUAGCCUAGCUGGUAAAGUAGAAAAUAGAAGACAGAGUGAGAGUUAACAACUCUAAAAUUAUUUGUCACUUUCAACUUAAAUAUUAUUUGUUGUUAUUCCAACAACUAUUUCUUGGCAACUUGAUAACGAAAGCCAUAGAAAAAGAAUUAUUUCUUCUUUCAAUUAAACAGUGAAAAUCGGGUUACUUUUACCUUCAUUGAUUCUAACUUCUCUAAUAACAACAUUUUCUUUCAAUAUUUUAUUUAUAUAGGUUUAAUACAAUAUAACAUUAUUCUUUUGCUUUAUAUUUUAUUUUUCAAUUCUUUUAUUUCAUACAAACAAAUAUAUAGAUAAUAUAUGAUUUUAUUUUCUUUUUAUUUUAAGUUCAUAAUUGUAUUUGAAAUAUUGCUUAUUUUAGAAUUUGAUAGUUUUAUUAUAAUUUUUUUUAUUGUUGUAAUGUGUUUGCAGAUGGAAUAAAUUGGAGAAUUUUAAGGUGGAUACUUUUAUUUCUUAAUCUUAAAUUCUAACAGUUAAUUGGUAAUUUAUUUUAUUACUUUAAAAACUUAAAAAAUAGUUAAAAGUGGUAGUAAUAGUAUAAAUAACACUUAAUUAUUUUAUUACUAAAAGUACUAUUGUAAAUAGAAAUUUAUAGUAAUUGAGUUUUAUUUUAUAAUAAUUAUCAUGUUUUUACAAGUUUUGCUAAAAUCUUUUAUUAUCAUAAGAAUCCUAGCAACAAGGUCUACCUUUUUAUUUGAUCGGUUUGUUAAAUAAAAUUAGUUCAUUUUUUUGUUUUUUUUAAAGUCUUAAUACAUGUGUGAGGUUAAAGGAUUGCAUGUGUCAUCUCAAAGCUAUAGAUAAAUCUUUUUUGAACUAGAAUUGUUAGGGUAUGAUCAAAUAAUUGAUCUAAUAUUUUUUUUUGUAGAUAUUGCCUUCUUUGUGGUUAUGAGUGCAUAAAGGCAGAAAAAAUUUGUGUUUUGUGCUCCUAAAUCAAGUAAGAAAAGUUAGUUAUUUAAAAUUGAAUUCUAUUUGGUAGAGAGUUGUGGUAUAAAUCUAAGUUGAGAUUGAUUGCUAUUGAUGAAUGAGAUGAAUUGACUAGUUGGAGGAUUGAUGAGUUGUGUUUAUUAAUUUGAAUGAUUGAUUCUAUGUUUGAUGUGUUAACUUAAUAUAUCUCUUUGGUAAUCUGGUUUCUUAGAAUGGUUUAUACUACAUUUAGUUAGAAGUAACCAUAGAUGAAUGACAUUCAAAUAUAUUACAUUGACAAAUUGGUAUUAUAGGUUAGCGACGGCUACGACCAGUAAUUUUGGGAGAGCCAAAACAAUAUACUCAAACUUUGUAGAUUCAAUUAUUAUCUCUAAUAAAACAAAAAUAAAUAAUUAAAUAAUUCAAUCAUAAUUCAAAGUAGGUAAAGAAAUCAAAUUUGUACUGUUUUCAUUUUCAUACGUAGCUUUCCUUUUAUCAUUUUUAAAAAAUAAAUCUUCUUUUUCAUAGGUAUUUUUAUUAAAAAAAAUUCAAGACCAAAAAAUAAACUAUCAAAAUCAAAUUAAAUAUCAAGAGACAUAAUUAUUAAAAGAAAAAUAUAUGAUAAUAAAAUCAUAAUUACAAUCAAAUUCUAUAAAGAUAAUAAUAGUUCACUUUUUAUUUUAGGUUGAUAAAAAAUCAUUAUACAAAUGACUUAUAAAUAAAAAAAAUAAGAAACUAAUAUUUUAGUAUUGAGUGGAACAAGAUAGAGUUACUUUUUUUCAUAAUGGAACAAUACGUGUAAAAAAUAAGGGCAAAAAUAAUAAAUUUGUAUUUAACUUUCUUUUUGCUUUCUUCAUAAAUAAGAAAGUACAAGAAAAAAAAGGAAAAACUGGAUACAGUAAGUAAACCGAACCGAGACUAAAAGAGAGACAAAAAAAUUAUCUUACUAAGUUUUUAUUUAUUUAUUAUAUUUAAUGUUAUAUUUUUUUUAUAUAUUAACAUUAAAUGACGUGUUUUAUAUAAAGGUUAAAAAUCUUCCUAAUUUAAUUGUCAUAAAUUAUUAUUAACAUAUACAAAAUUUUAAGAGUUUGGGGCCAUGGCAUAUUAUGUCUUCCAAAUGAGUGCCAGGGGUUUUAGCACCAAGAAUUAUCCACUUAGUGUUAGGUGCCACUUCAAUUUCAAAGAUUUUGUAGGCUUGAUAUGGGUACCACCUUGUUCUUCUAUAAAUUGGAAUUCUUAUUUAGUUAACUAUUGGAUUAGAUUGAAAUUUAUAUCUAAUUCUUCACCUUUUGAGCGUUGCUAUCUUUGUUAGAGGUUUCUUGUUAGAGUAAUAUUUUUCGUCAUUUUGAUGAUCAUAAUGAAAAUAUUGUAUUUGAAUAUUAUGUUAAUACAAUAGAAAAUAAAUGAUGAAAUAUUAAUAUUUAAAUUGAAAUAAAUAAAUAAUAGGUGAUUGAUGCAAUGAGAUGAGUUUGGGUUGAAGUAAAUUAUAUGUAUUACAUGAUGUGAUGAUUUAAGAUUAUGUGAGAAUGUGAUGAAUGAGCUAUGCAUUAUAUGUUGUUUUUUUGCUAUUUUCUUGGGAAUGUUCUUACUAUUUUCUUGUUAAUGUUUAUUGUGAAUUAUAUGUAUAUAUGUGAAUGAAUGGUUGUGAUGUUUAAUGUUGAAUGAAAUGAUAAGAUGUGGUUAUGAUGUGAUGAACAUAGAAUGACUUUCAAGGGAGAAAUUAUUUCACUAUAGCAUUAGGUGUUUUGAGUAGGGACUCAGGAAAGAUUAUCUAGUUUCUACUAGUAUUUUAACUCACAUAGAGUAAGAUAUCUAGUUAGUGAGAGUUGAUGGAGGUUUCUAUGAUGAGAAUUAGUUCUAAAUGGGCCAUUUUUAGUUGUCAUAGGUGAACUAACCUUAUAAUAUAGGAAGGUUAGGUAGAGUUAUGGUUUUAUAAGCCAAAGUGUUAUUGAGAUCCUUAUGACAUGUACAAAAUCUUUGAGGUAUGAUUCAAUACACAAAAUCAUUCAGAGGUAAUUGUUGAAGUUUGUCUUGAAAAUGGUUUAUGAUCGAAUGAAGCUAGUGUUUAUGGUUGAUUUUUUGUUUUAAUCAUUUUGAACUAUUUAUAAGUCUUUUUUUUUAAUAUACUUGUUUACCCUCCUUUUGAGUUUGGUUAUGGAUUAUGUUAGAUAAACUUUAAAAUUAAGGGCUACAGUUGUAAUUUUGUUAGUUUUAAUUUUCCUAUGUGUUUCCUGAUUUGGUUUUCUUAUUAUGUUAUUAUUCUACUAGUGCGUCAGAUCUAUCUUUUCGUUUUUACUCAGUUUCAAUAGUUUUUUAGUUAGGUUUUAUUAUGUAAAUGGUUAUUUUUAUCCUAUUUAAAGACCACGUUCAUUUAAUGAAAGCACCGCAGAUUUAUCAGAAAAAUAUUUUAGUGUGGCGUAGUGAGUUUUGUUUUAACAAAGUAAAUAUUUUAGCGUGGCACAGCGAGACUUGUUUUAUAAAAGUGGUAUCAGAGCUUUAUGUUAUGAGUAUUGAGAGAGAAAGAGAGAGAGAUGAGAGGCAAACACCGUGAGGAAAAAAGUGUGUGCUUGAGUUGUUUUGUGAGAGAGAUGACAAACGUACUCAACGGAAUGAGUGUGUCACAAUUGCCGAAAAAGAUCAAUUACGACAAUUGGUCUUUGUAGAUGAAGGUUCUUCUUGGAUCCCAAGAUGUAUGGGACAUAAUGGAGGACGUGUAUAAUGAACUCGAGGAUGAUGAUCAUCAGACAAUGAACCUUACUGUUGAACUGAAAAAUACAAAGAUGAAAGACAUAUCAGCUUUGAACUUUCUAUAUAAUGCAGUGAAUAAAUCGGGAUUUGAGAAAAUAGUUUAUGCAAAGUCAGUAAAAGAAGCAUGGACAAUUUGGAGAUGGAUGAAAAAGAGGGAGUUGUCUAGUUUAUACAAAGGAGAUAUUCGCGUGAAGUUGGUUUGAGUACAAGCUCUUAGAAGAGAGUUUGAACAUAUGGAGAUGGAUGAAAAUGAGGGAGUUGUCGAGUUUACAGCUCGAGUGUAGAAGAUGGCCAACCAACUCGGAAUGAACGGAGAAGAGGUGCCUCCUAACCGGGUUGCGGAAAAGAUCUUGAGAAAUCUAACGGAUGAUUUUGAAAGUAUCGUGGUCACUAUUGAAGAGACAAAGGAUCUGUCAACUUUCACUAUGGAGGAGUUAUCUGAGUCAUUAAAGGCCCACGAACUGAGGAAUAAGAAGAAGAAGAAAAAGAAGAAGAAGAAGAAGUAGAAGAAAAAGAGGGAUCCCGACGAUCAAACACUACAAGCAUAAUUUGACUCGAAUGAAACUCAGAAUACUCAAAGCCGAGGUCUUGAAGGUAGAGGACGAGGAGGCAGAUGACGAGGUGGACAUGGUCUAGGUAAUUUUGAGAAUGAUAGUGAAGAGCAAACCGAUUAGCAGAAUUGGCAUAACUAAGGACAAGGGAAAGGCCGAGAAGAUUUGUCAAGAGUGGAGUGUUUUAAGUGCGGCAAGCAUGGCCACUAUGCAAAUGAAUGCAGAUCGAGGAAGUGCUACAAUUGUGGUAAGUCCGGUCACAUUGCUAAAUUUUGUUGAGCUGAGAAGAAAAGUGAGAGAAACCUUCUUACGGAAGGAGAAGAUGAAGAAGAGGUGGAGAUUCUGUUGACAUCAGAGUUGAAGGUGGAGAACUCGGAAGUUGGACCAUGCUUGAAGUCAAAGGCUGAGGAGAAUUCUACCAACUCAGUAUGGUAUUUAGAUACUUGAGGAAGUAAUCAUAUGUGUGGAAAUGAGAACUUCUUUGAUAAACUCCCCAAGGUGGUGGCCAGAUUUGUGUCUUUCAGAGAUGAUUCCAAGGUGGUCGUGAAAGGGCGUGGAACAAUUCGGCAUAUGCAGAAUGAUGGAAGAGUUAGAGAGAUUAGGGACAUUUACUAUGUUCCUAAGCUGAAGAGAAAUAUUGUUAAGAUUGUUGAUAAGGGAAGCACUGGUUUAGCUAAACUUUAAUCUCACAGUGUUCUGGUUUUUUAUGAUGACAACACAUUAUUAAUAACACAUGUAUUGUUAUGUGUUACAUGUUCCAUUCUUUAUUAUGAAUGAUAUCUUGAAGAACAAGUUUGUGUUGAUUCUCAUAUAUGUAUGCAUAUUCACUGAUUUUAUACUUGAUACAUCAUUUGUGAUUGCAUUACAUAUGCUUCUGAAAAGAAAACCACGUGCACUUUGUUGAACUUAUAUUGUGUGGAAAAUCUGCAAGUUUUAAGUCGACUUCAUUAUGAAGUAAGUCGAUUAAAACUCGUGACUUUGCACAGAUUUUCUAAAACAGUGCUGUGAGUAAUUUUGAAAUGAAAAGUUUUUCAAAACUGUUUUGAAGUGUUAAAGUCGACUGCAUGUGCAGUGAAUUCGACUUAGUUAGUUAUAUGUUUUGAAAUUCUGUUAAUGUUUAUGUGCUAUAACGACUAUAUUUCAAUUAUAUGCUAAAGCAUUAAAUGCAAGUCAAUUGAAUUAAAUGCGUAAUCAAUUUGGUUGUUAUGACUGUUGCUAAAAACUGUCUAAUGACAAUAGAUUACAUUAGUGGCAAAGUCAACUACAAGAGGGUCUGUUUCAUAAAAAACUAUAAAUAGACAUGAUUUUGUAAUUCACAAAGAAGAAUGAGACUUUGGUUGAUCUAACAUUUUCAUUUGUUGUUUCAGAUUGUGAUCUUUGUGAAAACGCUCCAAGAACUCAUCAAGAAGAAAGAAGAGAUCUUUCUUUGAAGAGUUUCUUUAGGAGGAAGAAAGUUGUGCUUGUUGUUUGAUCAAAUUCUGCACUAUUGGUGUUCAUCAUAUUGAUCAAGACUUUAUCAAUCUAUUGGAGAUUGGACUGCCCUAUUGGGAUUACAGGAAGAGAACGUGGAGUUUUGUACACUUUGAGGAUUGUUCAAAGUGGGUUAAAGAUUGCAGAAGAGGGGAUAUCUUGCUACAGAUCUUUGUGUUGCUGCCUAUACUUUUAGUUAGAGGGUUAGAGAGAUUGUCUAUAUUUUGACGUGGAGGUCUCUAUAGAAAUCUUGUGUAAAAACCUUGACUAAUAUAGUGCAUUGGCUUCCUGGUUGUGGAAGGAAACUGGAUGUAGGCAUUGAGGCCGAACCAGUGUAAAAACUUUGUGUUUGCUUUCUUUUUCCCUACACUAUUUACUUUGAGUCGACUUUACAUUUAGCGCAGUCAACUUUAUUUUUUCGCUACACUUAAACUUCUUAUUACUUGCAAUUCAAGAAACUUUGUAAAGGUUUACACUUUGCGAAAAAGAUUUUAAAAAGACUCUGAUGUUUGAACCUCACCAAUUCACCCCCCCCCCUCUUGGUGUUGAAACUAAGUCAUCAUGUUUCCAACAAAUAUUUUAAGCAUGGGUCAGAUAAUUGAAAAAUGUAAUUCGAUUUUUAUGAAGGACCAUGUACUGUAUUUAAAAGAUAAGCAUGGUCGUCUAACAACCCUUGUAAAAGCGAAGAAAAUCGGUUGUAUGAACUGCAAUUGAGGAUUUUGCAAAAAAGGUGCUUGAAGCAAGAUAUGACUAACAAGAGCUCAGAUAACUCCAUUAAUGAGGUACAUGUAACAUGUUUUUUAAUAAGUGCAGAAGAUGAAAAAUUUGAAGAAGUCGUGCUUGAUGAAAGAUGGAAGAAAGUUAUGGAUGAGGAGAUCAACUCAAUUGAAAAAGAUGAAAUGUGGGUGCUGACAGAUUUACCCACAAGUGAUCGACCAAUUGGUGUAAAGUGGGUAUACAAAAAGAAAAUUAAUGUAGAAGGAGAGGCAGAGCGCUAUAAAGCCUGACUUGUGGUGAAGGUCUACAAACAACAGAAGAGGAUUGAAUAUGAUGAAGUUCACUCGAGUGACAAGGAUGGAAACAAUCUGGCUAUUGUUCUCAUUAACAACUCAACAAGGAUUAAAGAUUCAGCAGAUGGAGAUGAAGUUUGCAUUUCUGAAUGAUUUUCUUGAAGAGGAGGUCUAUGUAUAACAACCCUUCGGUUACAUGAGAAGAGGUGAAAAAAAGCUCUUCGAGCUUGGAAUAAAAGAAUUGAUACCUAUUUCAAGAAGAAUGAUUAUGAGCAAUGUCCAUAUGAACAUGCUUUAUACCUAAAGAAGCACAAAACAGGUAUAUUGUUCGUUGCUCUAUAUGUACAUGAUUUGAUUUUCAUGGGAAGUAAAUUUGAGCUAGUUGAGGAAUUUAAAGAAGUGAUGAAGAUGGAGUUCAAAAUGACCGAUCUAGGCAUGAUGAAAUAUUUUCUGGGUCUGGAGGUGAAUCAAAGCUCAAUAGGGAUUUUUGUGUCUCAAAAGAGGUAUGCUGAAGAUAUACUGAAAAAGGCAAAGAUGAUGAAGUGCAAUCUGGUUUCCACUCCAAUGAAACUUAACACAAAGCUAUCAAAAAAUGAAGAAGGGGAUCGUGUUGAUUCAAGAAAGUAUCAAAGCUUGAUUAGGAGUCUUAGGUACUUAACAAACACAAGGCUAGACCUUAUGCUAAGUGUAGGAGUCACAAGCCGUUUAAUGGAAGAGCCAAGAUAUUAUCAUUGGAAAGCAUUGAAGCAUAUACUAAGGUAGGUAAAGGGAACUAUGUCUUUCGGAUUAUGAUAUACUAAGUCGGAUAACUACCGACUUAGUGGGUAUUCAGACAAAGACUGGUACGGAGAUGUGGAUGACCGAAUGAGCAUAGUUGGUCAUGUCUUCUUUAUGGGAGAUACAACAUUUACUUGACUCUCAAAGAAAUAACCUAUUGUUGCACUAUCAACGUGUGAGGCUGAAUAUGUGGUAGCAUCUUGAAGUGUCCGGUAUACAAUCUAGUUGAGAAACCUGUUAAAGAAUUUGAAGAUAGUCCAAGAAGAAAAGGUGUUGAUCCAAGUAGAUAAUAGAUCGACAAUUGAGCUGACAAAGAAUCCAAUCAAUCACGAGAGGAGCAAGCAUAUUGAUGUUUGUUUUCAUUUCAUCCAAGAAAAGGUAAAGGAGGGAGCGUGGAACUUAAACACGUAGAAAGUAAAAGGAAAAUAGCUGAUAUAUUCACGAAGUCCUUAUCUACAAUAUCAUUUGAGGAACUAAUCGGGAUGAAGGAAGGACAUUUUAAAGUUUAUGGAAGAAUUUUGUUAGAUAAACUUAAAAUUUAAGGGAUAAAAUUAUAAUUUUGUUAGUUUUAAUUAUGUUGUGCAUUUCAUGAUUUGGUUUUCUUAUUCUAUUAUUAUUCUACUAGUGCGUCAGAUUAUUUUUUGUUUUUAUUCACUUUCAAACUUUAUUUAGUUAAUGUAAACGAUUAUUUUUUAGCCUAUUUAAAGGUUAUGUUUAUUCAAUGAAAGCAUAGUAGUUUUAUCAGAAAAAUAUUUUAGCAUAGUGUUUUAUCAAAAAAUGCUACAAAUUGAAAGGUGAAAUUGUGUGAUAAUAGGAUAUAUAUAUAUAUAUAUAUAUAUAUAUAUAUAUAUAUAAUUCUGUAUUGUAUAAAUAAUUUAUUUUUUAUAUAAACAAAAUUAUAUUUUUAAAAAAUUUAUCAUUAAUAUAUGGAUGCAUAUUUAUUUUUCAUCUUAUAAUUAUUAGUAGUUAUAUAAAUAAAACAAAAGACAUAAAAAAUAUUUGUCAUGAAUAUAAAUGAAGUUUGUUUUAGUUAAGUUAUGAAAAAAAAAUCAAUAAAUUGAAGUUUUUUAUUUCACAAUUCUAUUGAAACAAACAGUUGGUCCCCAUGGGCUAUAAACAAAAGGAAGUCCUUAACAAUUAUUUGUUGAAUAAUAGUGUUUUAUUUGUUAUGAUAAAGAAUAUUGGAGGCAACCUCAUCAUUCAUUCCUAAAUCAAUGAUGAAUGGUACACAUGCACUUUCUAUUAACCGACCCAUGACUUUUCUUCACUUUAAAUAUUAUCGUUUUUCAACCUCCAACUCAUUUUUUAUUAUUAUAAAUUAUCUAUUCUAAAGAUAAACUUUUUUUAAUUAAUUUUUCUGUUUGGUAAGAAGAAAAAGUUUGCUUAGUCGGCACUCCUAAAAGUGCUGACCUUUCAAUAAUCAUUAAUAUGAGGAAAACUUGGAAUAAGACAUUCUCGAAUGAGAAAUGCUUCUUUGUCCUUACUCUCUCAUAGACAAAUUAUAUUUCUUAAAAUUUUAUGAUUAUAAAAACCCAUACAUGAAAUAAAACAAUAAAAUGUAAUAUUAUAAAAAGAAGAAGUAAACAUAUAAUGUGACCAACUUAGCAUUAAUCAGAAAAUAAAAUCAGUUUACUGGUGAAAAAAAAUAAUUACUCCACAUGAAACAUCCAGUCCACCUUCUUUGUGUGUAUGUGUUUUUUUUUUUCUUUGGAAAAUGACAUAAUUAGAAAUAUUAAUAAGAAGAGUGUACUUUAUAACUUUCAUACAUAUUUUUGUAUUUUAUUCAAUAUUUAUUUAAGAGCUUUUGUAUGGAAAUAAAAAAUAUGAUCAUAUGGUAAGAAGUUUAGUAUAAAAGGAUACGUAUUUUCUUUUUUCUAAUAUUAAAAAAUAAUAAAAUAUUAUAGUUAUAUAAAUUUCAUAAUAAAGUAUCAAAUAAAUUAAAAAUAAUUUAAUAAUACAAAAUGAGAGUGGGUAUCAAGGUGAACAAUAGUAAAAGUUUAUUUUUCAUCAUUAAACAAAUAAUCAUGGCUUUUAAUAAAUGAUCUAAAAAAAAUUAUUUAAAGAAAUUAAAAAUUUUAUUAUUAAUAAAUCAUGGCUUUUAAUAAACUAAACUAUCUAGAUAAAAAGAGAUAAAAACAAAAGAAACAUUUAUUUGACUAAACCAUUCCAUGAGCUUAAACAACAUUCAUAUCUUUAGAAAAAUCAUGGCUAAUCAUGAUUUUACUUGGCUAAUCAUGACUUUUAAUCAAUGAUCUAAAAAAAUUUAUUAAAAGGAAGGAAAAUCAUAGAUAAAUUUCAGCAACAUCUAUUUGAUAAAAAAAGGAACAUGUAAGGUAAUGGAACCGCCAAGGUGUUUGGGGCCAUAACUUUUGCGUUUUCUAUGUUGGAAGUGUUCUUAGCCACGUUUUCAUAUUCAUAUACUUUCAAACAAAAAUACUUUAUUUUCAUUUCAAUUUAAAUAUUCACUAUAGAUAAUCUAAAAUAAUUACACCGUUAUCAUCCAAACCACAAAUGUGUUAUGCGCUUUGUGUAUUAUUAAUUAAACAUAAUGAGUUAGUAACUCAUCUAAUGAACUACACAUCAAAAUUAUAAUACUUCAAAAUUUGUCAUUUCAUUAGAUAUCAAAUUUGUCACUUCUCUUAUAUAUCCGAGCAUAAACGAGAAUAUUUUUUUUUUAUUAUGGUAGAUAUGAGUUAUAAAUAUUAAUAGAUUAAAUAUGUUUAUAAACUAUUAUAAACAAUUAUAAAAUGUUUAAUUUAUAUAUUUUAGGAAAAUCGUGUAAAAUAUUAUUUUCAAAAAGUAAUAUGGGUGAGAUUUUUCAUGUAAAAGAACUAGAAAAUAAUAUUUUAGAAUUGGUAAUAGUUUUAAAACUAGUAAGAUUUUUAAUAUAAAUAGUUUCGUUAUAUAUGAGUUUCAUUAUUUUAAAACACAUAAUUUCUCUAGAAACCAUAUUUAUUUUAACUAUAAAUAUAUUUUUGUUAAGACAAAAUCGUCUAUGCACUUAAAUGCUCUCAUGUUUUGAAGUUUAAUUAAAUAACACUAAAACGGAAAAAUAAUUGGAAAACAACUUAGCAUAAAAACACAAGGCUUAGAACAUGAAUCUCCAAAACCUACACAAAACUUAAAACCUGAAUUCUCAAUAUAGAAAAGCUUAGGAAAACACAUAGGUUCUUAGCAAAUAGGAAAACAUCUAGGUCAAAACGCCUAGACUCAAGACUAAAUGCUAUUAUGCCUAAAGCGUCUAAGAAAGUUUGAGUUAAACACUUGAUGCUUAUAUACUUGAAAAAGAUAUUCAACUUAGCUCUCUAAAUCAAAACAAGUCAGACGAUGUCUCUAACAAAACAAACUAAGAUUUAAAGAUUAAAACAUAAAAAGAAAGCUUGAAAUAAGUUAAACACUAUCUGUCUAAGAAAAGACAAAAACAAAAGAAGCUUUUACUUGGCUAAACAAUUCUAUGAGCUUAAACAAUACUUUGUCCAACGAUGAAGUCUUUAUACAACACUUGGUAUCUUUAAAAAAAACUUAAUUGUUAAAAGUUACCUAAAAAAUAAUAAAAAAAAGCAUUUUAUUUUUUUGAGCAAACAUUAAAUGACAUUAAAUGCUCAACGUUUAAAUGAUUUCAACAAGUUAUUAACAUAGAACUUACACUUUAAAACAACUUUUAGACUUCAAAGAACUCAUCAAAGCUUACACUAUACCCAAAACAAAAUUAAUUGGAAAGAAAUUAGUCAAAACAUACUUUAACUCAUGUAUUACACUACAACAAAUUUAUUUAUUUUUAUUAUUAUUACUUUUCUCUUUUGAAAAUAUUUUUAAUCGAUUUUGUGUAAAUAUUCUCUUAAUUUAAUCCAAUUUAGAGAUUAAAAAAGCUUAUUAAUAAUGAAUCAUACGGAUAGUCCUACUUACAACUAUUUAGAUCCACUUCCAUGAUAAUUUCUCUUAUACCUUAAAAAAAGUGAUUUAAUGUUCAAGCUUGAAACUUACUAGGGAUGGCAAAAAAAUUUGCAUCCAUAGAUAUCUGCGGAUAAAAUCUACGACAGAUAGUUGAUACCCGCAGAUAUUUACUACCUACAACCCGCGGAUAACGGAUAUUUUAAUACUCGCUUAUAAACGGGUCGAGUGCGGGUAUUAUACUAUCCGUACUCGUGGAUAUCCGCUACCCGCAAAAAAUAAAAACUUAAUUUAUAUUUUAUUAAGUUAAAUUUAAUUAAAAUUAACAUUAAUUUAUAUUUUACAAGAUUAAGUUUAAUUAAAAUUAAAUUUUGUUUUAUAUGUAAAUUUUAUAUAUUUUUUUGUAAUUCUAUUUAAAUUUUAUUUUAAUAAUUUAUAAAAAUAUAUUUUUUAAAUAUUUAUGGAUAUCCGCGAAUAUUCACGGAUAUUCAUAGAUUUUAAAAUAUUCACGAAUAUUUUUUAAAUGAGUAUCCAUACAGGUAAUGAAUCAAAUAGUGAGUGAACUUUUUUUUUCAGGUCGAAUUGUGAGUAAUCACUCGUAUCUGACCGACCCGUUAUCAUCCUAAAACUUAUCAAACGGUUGUGUAGAAGCACAAUUCAUCACUUUGCCUUUUGGAAACAACUUACUUUAUAUUUACUCGUUAGAAAGCCAAAUUUCCAAAAACACCCUACUUUAAAUUAGAUAAGUUUCGGUUUCAAUAUAUUUACCCUUUUUAUUUUGAGUAUUGAUAUUUUUUUCUUAAAAUUAAGUGGUUAAUGAAUUAAAUUAUUCAGCUUUAAAUUUAGAAUAAAAUAUUUACGUAUAUUUAUUUUAGUUUAAAUCUCUGAAAUAUUUUAAAACUUUUCCCAAUCCCACAAUUUUUUUUUAUCGUAAUAAACGUGUGUUAUGUAAUAUAUAAUAAUUACAUGUCAUGUCAAUAUUAGUAAUGUGUGAUAAUUUAUGCCCUAAAUGUUUAUGUUAAAUAAGAAAUGAAAGAUCAAAAUUAAGGGAUAAAUGAUUUUCAUGAAUCACAUUUUUUUAAAUAAUAUGUGACAUAUUUCUACUUUAUAUGAUUCACGCUAAGAUUCUACUUAAACUUUUCACAACAUGUAAAUAAAUCGUUAAUCAAUAUGAAAUAUAAUAGUUAAUCAUAAUAAUUUUUAACAGAUAUUUAUAUAUAUAAAUAGCACAAAGAUGAUGUUCAGAAAUAGUUCUCACAAAUUUAUUCAAAUAAAUUAGAAAAACAAGUAAACAAAUAAAAUAUGAUUUGAUCGAAGUAUUAACCAACUUCAAUUUAUAUCUAGGGAGAAAAACUUAGAGGUUUCUCUCACAACAAAAUUUCACUGAGAAAAUUCCAACGCUACAACUUCAAAGUUAACCAUCUACAAUGUCUUACAAUGUCCUAUUUAGUCAUCAUUUUAUUAUAAUUUACAAAGCAAGAGGCAUACCCAUACUCAAUAGAAAUAUACAAUGUUUUGAAUGCCUUUUAACAUGUCUUUGAAGUUUUUCUUUUUUAUUCAUGUCAUUAAAAAUUUGCAAAAAUCAUUUUUUUAGAAAUUUAUUUUAGUAUAAAUAAAGGUGUCAAAUUAUUCGUACUCCAUGACUAGUCAUAACUCCUGGAUAAACUCUUAUUUAUAGGACCACCAAAUGAGUGAGAAAAACUCUAAGUCCAAAAACCUCUUUUUGAAGUGGGUUGGGAUUAAGGUAAAACAAAAAGUUCUAACUCCCAAAGUCCAUCCAAGGUUAAAGGUUGAGUCGAGUCGUUUCAACUUGAAGGUCAAUAUGAGUUUUUCUGAACCGAAGCUCUAGUCAAGUCGACCUAAACCAAAGCUCGACCCAAGUUGGCUUAAGCCAAACUUCAAGUUGAGUCGGGUUAGACGAAAGUCGAGUUGUGUCGACCAAGCCAAAGGUUGAGAUGAGUCUGCCAAAUCAAAGGUCGACAAGAUGGCUAGGACCAAAGGUCAUGACGGUUCAUUCCAAACCAAAAUUCAAGAUACGCCAACCCGAUAAAAGAUAGAGACAAGCUAAUCACAAUCAAAAUUCAAGACGGUUCAAAAUGAGUCGAAUAUCAAGACAACCGAAGGUAAAGACAAGUUGGUACAUGCUAGAGGUUGAGAUGAAUCGACACAGGCUGAUGGUUGAACAAAUUACCCAGGUCAAUGGUCGAGAUAGGCUAGCUUAGGAUGAAAAUCGAAAUGAGCCCACCCAAAUAAAAACUCAAGAUGGGCUAACUCUUGACCUUUUUCCUAGGCUGAACAUCGACACAAGCGAGCCCAAGUAAAAGGUCAAGACAGAUAGGUUUGUGCCGAAGGUCAAAAGGGGCGUGCUCGAGAAGAUCAAUACAAACAGCCCAACCAAAGGUCAAGAUGUGCCGACUAAGUUGAAGGUCGUGACGGGCCAGUCAAGGCGAAGUUGAUUCGACAAGCAUGGGCCAAUGUCAAGGAAAACCAACCUAGGUUGAAGUUCGUGACAAGUAGUAUGAACCUAAGGUCAAUGAAAGACGACCUAGGCUAAAGGUUGAGAUAGAGUAGUCAUAGUUGAAGGUUGAGACAUACUGGUCUUUGGGGCAACAACGAGGUGGGCGGAGAUGAGUUUCACUUUCCUAUACCAAUCUCUAAAGAAAAAAUUCAUCCAUAUACCCAAAUUCAACCGGUAUGAAAUUUUUGUCUCAUUCCCAUCUCCACUGAGUAACAAAUAUACACCCGUACCCAUGCUUAUUUUCUUAAUGUUUCAAUAUUAAUUAAUUAAUUUUUAUAAAAUAAUAAAAACUUCUUGCAAUGCAAAUUUAAUAUUAUCAAAUUAUCAAUAAAAAAAAAUGUGUUGUAGUUUUUUCAAUAUCAAAUAUUUAGAAUGAAAUUAUAAUUAUAAUUGUAUACAUUUUAAAUUAAAGUACAAAAUAACAUUUCAUAAGACCAAAACAUUUAUUAAAUUUGCAAAGUUAAUGAAACAAGGUUGAUAAAAUUUAAAAAUUGUAAAGACCUAGAAAAUGGAGUAUUAGAACUGAUAGGUGUUUUAUAAUAAUGAGACCGAGUAUUUUUAAUGUUAAAAUAAUUCAAUAAUAUAAAUAGAAUUUCAUAAAUACGUCUCAUUGUCUAAAACACUCACCAUCUUUGUAAAACUCAUUCUCUGAGUUCUUCCUUCCUUCUCUUUAAGAAUUCUAACUCUUGAGACAUUUGUCUGAAAAUCAGGAAGUGCCUAGGAGAUCACGACAGUGAGUUCUCCAAUUUCAACCUAUCAUUCUUCCCUAUAGAGUAAGUCAAUUUAUGUUCCUUUUCUUUAGUUUUCGGUUUAAGACACAUGCAAAGAGGAUCCCUCGCAUGUGCCAUUCAAUCUCUCUUGUUAGUUCUUUGUCAACUAGUGGUCCUAAGGGCCUACUUUGAUCAUGAUUUUGUGGUUUGUAGGCAUAAUUUAGAGUUAUCUGAGCUGAGACAAGAGUAAUGUGCUCUGUAGAGUUGUUGUAGCCUUCCAACUAGGUAACGAAAGCUAAUUUUUUUGUUUAUAAAAUUGUAGAAACUAAUAGUCUGUUUUGAAGUUUUUUAUGGUAUUGAAAUUGAAUUGAUUUGGUUCUUAAGUAUAUGGUUUGAUGAAAUAUGAAUAUAUGACACCAUGUGUGAAAUGGAAAUUGGGUAAAAUGCAUAUUAUUGGUGAUUUAAGGUUGUUGUUGAUAAUAUUUGUAGUAUGUGACUAGUUUAUAAUUAAUUGAUGCAGAGUUUUAAAGUUGUAUUGUGUAGAAAACUGAUGUGGUAUGGACUGUGGAGAAAGAAGGAUGUUUUGGGAUUGGUUUUGAUAAAUUUUGGGGUUUUGAUAGAGAGGUUUUAGAGAAUUGACUUUUGAGUUAGAACUGAUGAUUGGGAGCUGACUUUUGGUCAAUUGAAACUUGUAUAGGGUUUUAGUUAACUAAAAAGAUGAUGUUGAAUUAGAGAAGUAGCAUUUUGAGUAGAGUUAUAGGUCAUUUAUGUGUUAAAAAGGGGUUUUGGUAGGCAAGAUUUUGAAGGAGUUAUUGGAUAGGGAAAACAGAGGUUUGAGGCCAGUUUUAGGUCACUUAGAACUUACUUAGAUAAUUAGUUUGGUCAAAAUGUUCUUAGGAAUGACAAAGUUAAAUUGUGAGAGUUGAAGUGAUGUUUUGGUGUAUAGGACUUGAAUUUCAUGACCAAAUGAGUAUGGUUUUGUUUAAGUUGUGUCAUAAACAAGUUGGUGAAUGUCAUUUAAGUUUAAAAUGUCAAAAUUGGAUCCAUGAAUUUUGGGAUUUAUGUUCAAGUUAGAAAAUUUAAGUUUGGUAGAUUUAAAUUAUGCAUAAUUGUUAUUCUGCAUAAUUCUACAGUCUAGUUGAGCAAAUAUAGGCAUUGAGCAAGUAGAACCAUAUCUAGCUUAAUGUGUAUAGGCGCUGAGCGAGAAGAAUCCAUUGUUUCUGUAUUCGAAGUGGAUGAGCGAGAUUCCUUGCUGAGUGAGAAAGAUUUCUUUUAGGGCGUUGAACGACCUAUUCAGAUCUUUUGAGUCUUUCUUUCUUUUGCUUUCUUGUAAAUUUGAACCAUAUUAGGGCUUUGAGGAUUGUGUAAAAGUAUAUAUUGAAUUAUAUGAUGAUUUAUUCUUGAGGUUAUGUAUGUAUUUGAAGUAUGGUUUGAAAAGAGUUUCUAAGGUGAAAUUCUUGAUUAGUUGUUUCAUACUUGUAUCCGGAUGGUCAGGUCUAGGUUCAUGGUAUGCUCAGGAUGUUUGUUUAACUUUGUAUGAAAUGUAAUAUAUGAUGAAUCUUAAUAUAUUAUGUUUAUUUCUUUUUAACAUUAGCUUACCCUUUGAGUAUUUCUUUGUUUGGUUGUUUAUGUAUGUUUGAUUUCUUUUUGCAAUGAUCACCUGGUUGGUGUGAGCAGAUAGAUAUGACUUGUCAGUGGAGCAAGCUUUGGGAGGAGAUGCAAUAGACGGAUAGUGAUGAGUAUAGGAGUUUAGUUUAUCUAAUUAUAUUUUGAAAGACCUUGUGUAAGUAGUUCUUUUGUUUUUUCUUUUGUGUUGUAUAUAAAGGUAGACUUAUAAUUAUUUUGGAUAACUAUAUGGAUAUCUUUUAUAUAUAUAUAUAUAUAUAUAUAUAUAUAUAUAUAUAUAUAUAUAUAUAUAUAUAUAUAUAUAUAUAUAUAUAUAUUCCUUAAGUUAAAUUGUUCUAUUGUAUUGAUCUUGUGAUAGUUUCUUAACAGUGUUUAUAUUAUUUUAAUGGGAUGUUACAUUUAUCUUUUUUAAAAAUUACAAAAACAAAUAAUCAAAUUUAAAAAUAUUUUAAAUGUCUCCCUACUCUCACAUUUUAAAUUCUAAUGAAAUGUUUUUUUCUAUAUACUAAUAAAAAUUAUGAUAUACUACUUGAAUCAAAUUAUACAAAAAAAAAUUAAACUAAUAAUAAUUAAAAUUUAACAUAGAUUUUUCAUACUUUGGACUUUGAUAUAUGUCGGAUUUUGAUAAAGAAAAUUCACGACAAUGAUACUAAAUUAUUAUAUAUAAUAAAUGAAUUUUUUUUAUACAAUUAUAGUGGUAGAAUUAGACUUAUGAUAAUGAGUUAGAAAAUAAAAAAUAAUUAUAUAAAAAACAUCAAAACAAUAUUUUAUAUGAUAAAAAUAAAAACAAAUAAAAGUAUUAAAAAGAAGUCAAAUGUGUAUCUUAGAAACAAUUUGAUUUACCAUUGAAUGAAAUUGUACAAAGAAAAACACAUGUAUAAUUAAGAGUAUGAUAAAAUGAAAAUAUCUUAAAGAUCUAUAAAAACAUUUUAGAUAUUAAACAAGUCUGAGUUAGUGAGAGAUCAUGAAAAUUGUUUUAACAAAACAAAAAGAGGUCUUUAAAUGAAACAAACAUUAAGAAUAAGAAAAUAAAGAAGAUAAAUUUUUUAUAUUACUUAGUAAAUACACAAUAAAUAAAAAUAUUAAAAAAGAGUAAAAAUAUUCAAAUAUAAGACAUAAAAAAUAUUUAAUUUACAUACUUCCUUUGAACAUAACUACAUAAAAGUUCUAAUAAGAGAUAAAGUAUCUUGAAAAUGUGAAUUGAUUUCAUGGUAAAUCAAACAAUUAAAAAAGAGAAAAAAAGUAUAUAAUUAAAAAACGAGAAUGAUUGUAUACUAAAUACUAAAUAUUAUAUAUAUAGUAUUUUAGUAAUUAAUUUAAUAGGAAACGAGGAUAAGGGUGGGAAUGGGUAUUAGGGUGGGUAUGAGGAUGAGAACAGGACAAAUAUCCACAUACUCAUGCCCAUCCCCCAUACCAAAUUGAAAAAUAUUGGGUGUUACUCAUUCCUAAUCAAUGUAGGGAUUUCCCAUCAAAAUAGGAACGAGUUUAUUUGUCAUAUCUAACUAGUCUUGGGUGAAGGUUAAGAUAGGCCAACCCUAAUCGAAGGCUGAGCUCGGUUUGCUCGGGCCCAAGCUCAUGAUGGGUUGGCCUAGGCUGAAGGUUAAGACAGGUUGAAUAUCGAGACAGAUCGACCUGAGAGAGCCAAAUGUCAAGAUAGGCCAACCUAAGCAUAAUGUUGUGACCUGUCGGCUUGGGUUGAAGGCCUUGAAGAAUUGCCCUAGACCGAAGAUCGUGACUAGUUAACACGAGUCAUAGGUUGAGAUGGUCAAUCUGGACUAAAGGUCAAGAAGAUUUAGUCAAAGAUGGGGUUGUGACUAGACAUGUCAAAAGGAGUCGGAACCUAUAAGCUAACCUGACUCACCACGUGUUUGAGCUGGGUCAGGUUUGAAAGUUAAAGUUUUUUCCGAUUAUGGAUCAAAAAGGGUUGAACUCACUUAACCCAUGGGUUAUUUGAGUUUGAGUCGGGUUAUAAUGAGCUUAACAACAACCCACCUGUACUUUUUUUUUUUUAAAAAAAAAUUGCUUCAUCUUCUAAGAUCAAUCAAACCUUAACUUGAAAUUAAGUUCCCUUUGCUUCGUCUACAUCUCACGCAUUCUCUCUGCUUCGUCCACACCACACACAACUUCAUCCCUACCAUUCGUGUUCGUCCUUGCAACCAUUCAUGUUUGUCGUAACUCCUUUGUGUUUUAGCUACUCCACGUUGCAAUCCCUUUGCGUCGCAACCCUUUCAUGACAUAACUCCUCCGCAUUGUUAUUCCUCAUUGCAAAUUUGAAAAAUUAAAAACUGAAAAACAAAAUAUAUGGGUUAGUGAACCAACCUACUUAAUCCAUCAACCUGUGAUAGGUCGAGCCGGGUUGUAAAAUUUCUAACUCACCAUAAAGUGAGUCGGGUUGGACUCACUUAUUUUUAGCCCAACUCGUGGUGAGCCAACUUGUAUGAGUUGGGGUGACUCACUUUGAUAUCCCUAGUCGUGAUGUACUGACUUGUGUCGAAGGUCAAAAUAAACUGAUUCAUACCGAAAGUUAAGACAACCUACCUUGAUCGAAGAUCAUGAUAAAUCUUCUUGAUCCGAAAAUCCUGACUGGCCUUCCCAAAUCGAAUUGGGAGCUUGAUUUGACAUAGUAUUGACUCCAUGCAUAGAGUACGAAGUACAGAUGAAAAUGUCAUACGAAAAAAAGAAAAUUUUGGAUAUUUUAUAUUUUAAAUAUUUUAUAUUUUAAAUAUAUUUAAAAGUAUAUUAUCUUACUUAAUUAUAAUGUGCUUAAAAAAAUUUAAAAUUUAAAUUUCUUUUUUCAGUUUCUUUAUCAUGAUGGUCGAAUUUUACAUAAGAAAAAUUUAAAUUCUUUAAAUAAAUAAAUUAUUAUUUUAAAUUAACCUUCAUCUACACAUUAACGUAGUUUUCUUAAUUACUUUAAUUAUAUAAGCAAUUAAGAUUUAUUAAUUCCUAUUUUCGCUCAAAAUAUAUUUAGACACGUGAAUAUUAUUUGAAGGAUAAAAUAAAUUUUAACCUUUUUUUUAAAUUCUUAAAAUAGUGUCCAAAAUUGUAUUAUUUUUAUCUCUCAAAACUUAAACAUAACUUUUGGAUUUGUCUAAAAUUUAAACAUAUUUUUAUUUUUUUAUAUCUUUAAUACUAAUAAUGGAGGAAAAACUAAUGCAUAUAUAUAAUAGUUUUAACAUGAUAUUAAAUAUCACUUUUAAUUACGAACUCACAUCUUCAAGUAAAAAAAAUCAUCAUAUGCAUCAAUUUUAAUCCAUCCUAUUACUAACAAAUUGUUACAAAAUAUUUUUAAUUAUCAAAAUACCAAAGUAACACCAAAUCCUUUUAGAAACAUAUUUAUUAUAUGCAAAUAUUUUAAAGGACCAAGAAAUAUUUUACCCUCAUUUUGAAAGAUAAUUAUUUCUUGUGUCUUAAAAUAAAAAGCAUAAAAUUAUAUUUUAAAGGUUAAGUUGCUAAACUUGGAAGAUGAAGAAGAAAACUAAACCCCUUAAAAGGAAGGGAUACAAAACUAGAGAAGUGUGAUAUAUUGAUUACAAAAGGGAACAAAAGGACAAAACAAAUAGAGAAACACAAAAAUACAAAUUUGAAUGUUAGGGUAGGGAGGUGGUGGUGAUGGUGCAGUGAAAGUGGGGUCAAGGUCGGUGAAAGCCAAACCGAAACCAAAAAGUUUAUUGCUUUUAUUAUUUGGCUUUGUUUUGCAGUGAAAAAUGUCACUGAUCAAGUGCUCUAACGUCACUCCAUCACCUCAAUAUAUACCCCUUCUCAUCUCACACUAAUCAAACACAACCUUGUUUCUUGUUCUGUGAGCCUCUCUUUCAGUUUUCUCUUUUCUUGAUCAUUGUCAAAAGGGUGGUUGCAGAUUGCAAUGGCUAAGCAUGAUGUUGAGGGUGGUUCCUUCUCUGCAAAGGACUACCAUGACCCUCCUCCAGCACCCUUGAUUGAUGGUGAGGAACUCACACAGUGGUCCUUCUACAGGGCCUUGAUUGCUGAGUUCAUUGCCACACUUCUCUUCCUUUACAUCACAGUGCUCACUGUUAUUGGUUACAAGAGCCAGAGUGAUGUAAACGCUGGGGGUGAUCUCUGUGGUGGGGUUGGCAUUCUUGGCAUUGCUUGGGCCUUUGGUGGCAUGAUCUUCAUCCUUGUUUACUGCACUGCUGGAAUCUCAGGUCUUUCUUCACUCUUCAAUCUCAUACCCAUCUUUUUAAUUUCCUUGCAUGGACUUUAGUCUAACAUAAUGCUUUGGUUUCCUUUUCAUUUUCUGGUUUCCUAGCAUCCAAAGUGGAAAAGCUGCUAUCUUUGAGCUCUAGUUCUAGGUCGUAAACUGUGGUUACUUGGUCGCACUUAGUUGCAAUUCUUGAUAUUCUGGGAAAUUACAAACAUUCUUAACAUUGUGGCCAAAAUCACAGUUGGGUACUGCUUUGUUUUGAAAAAAAUAGAAGAAAAACUUGCUUUAAACAUACCCCCAUUAAGCCAAAUAGCCAGUAUGUUUUGGCUUUGAGUGCUUAUCAAAUCUUCUUUCUUGUUUGCUAAUUCCCUUCUAUCAAGUUUGUUAGCCUUCAAAUUGGGAUGCUGGUGCUUUUGUGGGGGUGAAAGUAAAUAACUAAGCAUGAUUUGGUACCAAGUUUUGUUACUUAAUAUUCUGAAAAGUGUGAUUUUGUAUUGAAUGUAGGGGGUCACAUAAACCCAGCAGUGACUUUUGGACUGUUCUUGGCUCGGAAGGUGUCUUUGAUAAGGGCUAUAAUGUACAUGGUGGCUCAGUGUUUGGGGGCCAUAUGUGGAGUUGGGUUGGUGAAGGCCUUCCAAAAGGCUUACUACCACAGGUAUGGUGGUGGGGCCAAUGAGUUGAGUGAAGGGUACAGCACAGGUGUUGGAUUGGGUGCAGAGAUCAUUGGAACAUUCGUUUUGGUGUACACUGUCUUCUCUGCUACAGACCCCAAGAGGAAUGCUAGAGAUUCUCAUGUCCCGGUAUGUCUUCAAUUGUUAUUGCACUGUAGUUUUGUUUAUGCUUCUAUGCCCCCAUUUCGAAAAAUACAUUUUUUGUUACAUUAACCGUAGAUAGAGAAAAUUGUUGUUUGCAUGAGUUGUGCUGAAAGCAAUGAUUAAAUGGUACAGUGCAUACUAAGAUCAUAACAUAUAGUCAUAGUCAUACACAGUGCUUUUAAGCAAGCAUGGAUUCACUCUUAGUUCUUUCUGGUUUUAAAUAGAAGCUCAAAGUUUCCUGAAAUUACUUUGGACUGGUUGUUGGUAAGAAAAAGUGGAGGGGAAUUGGUUUUGUUAUUAUUAGAUAUCCGAACUUCAAGCAUCUAGCUAUGCUUUCUAAGUGAAACUAGGUAGAGUGGUAUUUAAGAAAUUAAGAAAAUUAGUUGUAGUUCUUGAAAUGGUUACCAAGAUGGGUAUUCCUGAUUCAGUGAACUUAACAAUUAGUAAAAAAUAGUCCACUCCAUUUUUGAGCAGUUGUACCUGCUGCCACUCAACAAUUUCCCAUUUGAAAUGAUGCAGUUUACAGUCUAUGCUAUCCAUUUGCAUAAAAAGUUUUGGCACAGUCAAAACUUAUGUUUACUAUUACUUUUACUAUCAUUAAUAGUUAUAGAAAGCUUUAUAUUUAAUAUUCUUGAAACAGUUAAAUAUGUUAGCCAGUUGGAUUUCCUUUUCAUUUUGGAAUCUAAAUAUCCUUAUUCUGGCUUCUUUCUCUAGAGUCUUAUUCCGUAAUAAAUAUUGCACUGGCAGCAUUCAAUUCAGAUGAAAAUUUCCACUUUUCUUGCAUUGCUUGGCUUUCCUUUAUUACUAGUUCUUGUCCUCAGAACAAGAAAGUGGGAAUUCUUUUCCUGCGGGCAUAUUUCUUGACUUAAAGGUUACAUUUUUAUUCAUCUAAGCAUCCUAGAGUGGUGAACCUAUCCCUUCCUUUCUCCAAAAUUUCCAAAUGCAUGAUGUUUUUCUGUUGAAGUGAAAUGCUAGCAUUUCUUUACAAAUAUGGGUCCAUUUGGCCAUUACCAUAUAUGAUUCUGUGGAGCAAUUUGAUUUUCACAGCCUUGUCACACGAAUCUUAUCUGUUUUCUUUCUUCUUUUGGGAAAAGUGGAUUCUUUCAGGACUUUCCUUUUGUAUUUUUUUUUCCCUCAGAAGCAAAUCUGUCUUUGUUGAUGUGGAAAUUUAAGGCCAACAAUUAAAGUGUUCUGAACAGUGUCAUUCAUGCUAAAUGCCAUUUUCCCAAGCUGGCAAAUCUCGUGAGAGUUUCCAGCAUCAUCCUCAUUUGUCAUUAUCAGCUUUAGGUUCCUCCUUACAGUUUCUCAGAUUCUUCAAAUCAAUAACAAAGGAAACCAUGCUCCUCACAUGGGGCAUGUCCCAUCUGUCCCAAGUGUUUAUCGGUUUCCAUUUCCAUUUUUUUGCCUAUUUUAUUAACAAGUUUUAGAGAAGGGUCUACGACCACAAUUUUAUGUGCAACAUUAAUUAGAAUUUUUUAGUCUCUCAGACCAUAGUUGCUACUGCAGCUGCCACAUUUAUCCACAAUUUCCUAUAACACCAAAGAUUGCAAUAAUCUUUAUAAUUAAUUUGGAUUCAUAUGUUUGGCACAACUUGUUUCGUUUUUUUUUGUUUUAAUUGAACCAAAUGAAUUUCUUAUGGUGCUUUUGUUCUGCAUUUGAAGGUUUUGGCUCCACUUCCAAUUGGUUUUGCUGUGUUCAUGGUCCACUUGGCAACCAUCCCUGUAACUGGCACUGGUAUUAACCCUGCUAGAAGUUUUGGAGCUGCUGUCAUAUACAACAAAGAGAAGGCCUGGGAUGACCAUGUCAGUAACUGUUUUUUUACAUAUCAAGAACUUGCUAGUUUUAUACUAUAUGAUUAAAUAUUAAAAUUUGUAACUUGUCUUGUGAAGUAACAAAGGAUAAAAAAUUGGUGCCACUAUUGUCUGAUAUAAUCUUGUUCCUGAUGUUUGUUCAGUGGAUCUUCUGGGUUGGACCAUUCAUUGGAGCAGCCAUUGCAGCCUUCUACCACCAAUUCAUCUUGAGAGCAGGUGCUGCUAAGGCUCUUGGAUCAUUCAGGAGCAACCCCACCAUUUGAGUUAUUACCAAAUAUCCUCUCAUGGGUUCAAAAGGAACAACAUAAUUGGAAGCAAAAUGAGUUGAUAUUGCAGCAAUGAUAAUAUUGUCAAGUGCUUGUACUUUUAUUUUGAUCCUAUGUAGAUUGAAGGUUCUUUCAAGACAAGAGCCUUUGGUAAAUACCCUUUAGUAUUAAGCACU
rnacentral:lncRNA from 1 species